rnacentral:rRNA from 1 species
UACGUAGGGACCGAGCGUUGUCCGGAAUCAUUGGGCGUAAAGAGCGUGUAGGCGGCUAUUUAAGUCAGGCGUGAAAGCCCCGGGCUCAACCUGGGAACCGCGAUUGAGACUGGAGAACUAGAGUUCGGGAGAGGAUGGUGGAAUUCCCAGUGUAGAGGUGAAAUUCGUAGAUAUUGGGAAGAACACCGAUGGCGAAGGCAGCCAGCUGGACCGACACUGACGCUGAGGCGCGAAAGCGUGGGGAGCAAACAGG